CGGGUCACAGAGCAGACAGCACCCCCACUACACCACAGUGUCCAGUUUCCAUGUGCUGUGCUAACACUGAGCUGUCCUUUCCUGAGUGGAGAGAGGCAGGCCCCUGACCCUAGGGUCACUGUGAGUUUGAGUCUGUCUGUAGAGUGUUUGCUGCUUUGUGCAGCCUGUGCAGCAGGCCUUGAUCACGGUUAGUUUGUCUGGCCCUGUUUUAAACCCUUGGCUUUUUAUCUCUGUGAGGCUGUAACCCUUGUCCCCUCCUCUCUAUGGAGUUAAAACCCAGUUAGUUGUCUGGCUUUCUGGGCGUACAGCCCUUGCCUGUAUUGUGCUUCCAGGUUAAAUGUAGGUAAGUUUAAUCUCUUUAAAUCUGAAUGAAGUUGGCUCCAAAGUUCCAGGGCUUUCCCAGGAGACAUAGCUGGAAUGACGAGAGUUCAGCAAAGUGCCUAAAGGGAGCUCAGUGGGAGAGGACUAACACUCUUCUCGGCUGCUCCUCCUCCUUUUCUUGCAGCGUUAGCCUUACAUCUCACCACCUCCUCCUCUUCUACCAGGUUGGUCAAGCCCAGCAUUCCAGCAACUCUCUGGUGUGACGCAGACAUGUGCCACCAAGACCCUACGCAGGGACAAUGUGGCACACUUCUCCUACCCCUUUACUCUGGAGAUGUUUUUCACCCAAGAGGAUGAGUCAGAAGGCUCUCUUCCACAGUGGCCUGUGAUCUAUUUUGAGGUUCUCUCGCUGGAUUAUUGGCAGAGGUAUCGUGUUGAAGGCUAUGGAUCUGUGGUGCUGCCAGCAGCUCCAGGUAAAACCUCCCCAAAUGACCGGUAUCUGGAGGCUGGAACAUUAAGCUUAGGGAGCUCUUCCCAGCCUGAAACUCAGCUGAUCAAAGGAUUUCCCGCUAGCAUUGUGGGACACAUGGGAGGCAAGAUCAAAUCAGUAUCAUAGAUGCCUGUAUACAAAUGCAAGAAGCAUGGGUAAUAAUCAGGAAGAACUGGAAGUGAUU